rnacentral:sRNA from 10 species
AAUCCUCUAUUUAUCCACAGGACAGGUACAGCACAGGCAGCGACAGUGCGAGCUUUCCCCACACCACCCCGUCCAUGUGCCUCAACCCUGACCUGGAGGGACCACCUCUAGAGGUGAGAGGGGAUGU